UCUCUCCUGCAGAGGGUGACAUGGAGUCGAGUGCAAAAAAAAAAGUGUCAUUGACCUGACAUACUGUACAUCAAGAUCUUCACUUCUUGUUUGCAUGUUCUCUGUGGGUGUGUUGGCAUGCGCGUGUGUGGCCCAGUGCUUGCAAAAAAGAAUGUGUGACUGAUCAAGGUUUGGUGAUUAAUCAAGGCUUCUGGUUGUCGCCGCCAGCAGCGGCCUGCGUGCCUGUCUACACAUGCUCGCCCGUAACCCCUCGCAGGCACUUCAACACCGGCUCAUUUGUGCAGCGUUCCUCCCCUUAUCAUAAAACCAUCUAUUCUUUUUGCCAAACGUGUAACGGUCUGCGCCAACAUGAGAGAGAUUGUGUCGUUAAUCACGCUCGUGUAAUCAACGCUGUUUGUUGACAGUGUUUUCUAAAGACGAACAACCGAGCCUGGCGAUGACAACCUCAAGCAGUCAUAUUUGCUAAAAUGAGAUAACGUGACAUACUUUCUAGCCAACUGUAGACCCAGAUUCCUUCCUGGGUUGAGGACCCAGUGGUUGCUGGUGAUCGUCACAUCAAAAACCAGCCAGCCCUCCUCUGCAGCCCAGAUGACUCGUGAGUCCAGGAGAAAAAGCUUUGCUGAUCUUCUACCCCCCCACCCCACCCACUGUUGAUUUAAGCUCCACCCAUUCUUUCCUACAUAUUGACUCCCUGGGCAAAACAGGCAGAAAAAAAACGGAAGCCACAAAGCAUCCCAGACACCUCGGCCUCCGGAGCAACGGCAGACAGAACUGACGGCUCAUAUUAGCCCAAGUGUCUGUUCAACACCACCACACCCCUCACUAGCACCUUGAACACUUCCGCCGCACGGCAGGGGGGAACGGGGGGGAUCUCACCCCUGGCACUGCGUGUUUGACUGACACAAUAUAAUGAUCUGCUUCUUUCUUUCUCCCUCUCAGAUGCCUUGACAAUGUUUUAAUUACAAUCCAGGGAAGAAGUAGUAGUCAUAGUUUCCACGAGCUCGGGGAAGAAAUGGGCUCUGCAAAGAAGUUGCUCAAGAUGUUUAUCCUAUAAAGUUUAAAGAGGUUUUGAUCUUUCAGCUAACCACAGUAGGGUGAUUACUAUGUCAAGAAACUUCCUGCCCGCUGCUGACUACUGAUGACAUCAUGCCCGUGUGAUGUUUUUAUACUGGAAAAGGGGUCAACAGAGUUCCACGUUAGAACUUAGUCACACUUGACAGUCAUUAAUUAAGUCACUGCAGCACGUCGUCACAUAAGCGUGUGUGUGUGUGCGUGCGUGUGUGUGUGUGUGUGUGUGUGUGUGUGUGUGUGUGUGUGUGUGUGUGUGUGU